GCCCUCAUCGUCUAGUGGUUUUAGGACAUUGCCCUCUCACGGCAAAGAUCGCGGGUUCGAUCCCCGCUGGGGGUA
rnacentral:tRNA from 1 species